UACGUAGGGGGCAAGCGUUGUCCGGAUUUAUUGGGCGUAAAGAGCGUGUAGGCGGUUUGGUAGGUCCGUUGUGAAAACUCGAGGCUCAACCUCGAGACGCCGAUGGAAACCAUCAGACUAGAGUCCGGAAGAGGAGAGUGGAAUUCCUGGUGUAGCGGUGAAAUGCGCAGAUAUCAGGAAGAACACCCGUGGCUAAGGCGGCUCUCUAGUACGGUACUGACGCUGAGGCACGAAAGCGUGGGGAGCAAACAGG
rnacentral:rRNA from 1 species